rnacentral:tRNA from 1 species
AGCCCCGUCGUCUAGCGGCCCAGGAUGUAGGGUUUUGGUCCCUGUGACCGGGGUUCGAAUCCCCGCGGGGCUA